rnacentral:rRNA from 1 species
AUUGAACGCUGGCGGCAGGCUUAACACAUGCAAGUCGAACGAGUGGCGGACGGGUGAGUAAUGCCUGGGAAACUGCCCGAUGGAGGGGGAUAACUACUGGAAACGGUAGCUAAUACCGCAUACCAUCGGAUGAGCCCAAAUGGGAUUAGGUAGUUGGUGAGGUAACGGCUCACCUAGGCGACGAUCCCUAGCUGGUCUGAGAGGAUGACCAGCCACACUGGAACUGAGACACGGCCCAGACUCCUACGGGAGGCAGCAGUGGGGAAUAUUGCACAAGGGGCGCAAGCCUGAUGCAGCCAUGCCGCGUGUAUGAAGAAGGCCUUCGGGUUGUAAAGUACUUUCGGCGAGGAGGCGUUACUCGCAGAAGAAGCACCGGCUAACUCCGUGCCAGCAGCCGCGGUAAUAC